rnacentral:tRNA from 1 species
GGGCCUGUAGCUUAGUCUGGUGGAGCGCUCGGCUUAUAUCCGUGUGGUCGGGAGUUCAAAUCUCCCCAGGCCCA